rnacentral:rRNA from 1 species
UACCUGGUUGAUCCUGCCAGUAGUCAUAUGCUUGUCUCAAAGAUUAAGCCAUGCAUGUACAAGUACGAACUAAUUUAGAUUGUGAAACUGCGAAUGGCUCGUUAAAUCAGUUAUAGUUUGUUUGAUGGUAUCUACUACUCGGAUAACUGUAGUAAUUCUAGAGCUAAUACGUGCAACAAACCCCAACUUUUGGAAGGGAUGCAUUUAUUAGAUAAAAGAACAACGCGGGCUUUGCCCGUUGCAUUGAUGAUUCAUGAUAACUCGACAGAUCGCACGGCCUUAGUGCCGGUGACGCAUCAUUCAAAUUUCUGCCCUAUCAACUUUCGAUGGUAGGAUAGAGGCCUACCAUAGUGCUGACGGAUGAUGGAGAAUUAGGGUUCAAUUCCGGAGAGGGAGCCUGAGAAAUGGCUCCCACAUCCAAGGAAGGCAGCAAGCGCGCAAAUUGCCCAAUCUUGACACGGAGAGGUAGUGACAAUAAAUAACAAUACCGGGCUCUUUGUGUCUGCUAAUUGGAAUGAGUACAAUCUAAAUCCCUUAACGAGGAUCCAUUGGAGGGCAAGUCUGGUGCCAGCAACCGCGGUAAUUCUAGCUCCAAUAGCGUAUAUUUAAGUUGUUGUAGUUAGAAAGCUCAUAGUUGGACCUUGGGUUGGGUCGACCGGUCCGCCUAGCAUUGUGCACCUGUCGUCUUGUCCCUUCUACCGGUGAUGCGCUCCUGGCUUUACCUGGCCGGGUCAUGCCUCCGACGUUGUUACUUUGAAGAAAUUAGAGUGCUCAAAGCAAGCCUACGCUCUGUAUACAUUAGCAUGGGAUAACAUCAUAGGAUUUUGGUCCUAUUCUGUUAGCCUUCGGGAUCGGAGUAAUGAUUAACAAGGACAGUCGGGGGCAUUCGUAUUUCAUAGUCAGAGGUGAAAUUCUUGGAUUUAUGAAAGAUAAACAACUGCGAAAGCAUUUACUGAGGAUGUUUUCAUUAAUCAAGAAUGAAAGUUGGGGGCUCGAAGACGAUCAGAUACCGUCCUAGUCUCAACCAUAAACGACGCCGAACAGGGAUCGGCAGAUGUUGCUUUUAGGACUUCGCCGGCACCUUAUGAGAAAUCAUAAUCUUUGGGUUCCGGGGGAAGUAUGGUCGCAAGGCUGAAACUUAAAGGAAUUGACGGAAGGGCACCACCAGGAGUGGAGCCUGCGGCUUAAUUUGACUCAACACGGGGAAACUUAUCAGGUACAAACAUAGUAAGGAUUAACAAAAUGAGAAUUCUUUCUUGAUUCUAUGGGUGGUGGUGCAUGGCCGUUCUUAGUUGGUGGAGCGAUUUGUCUGGUUAAUUCCUUUAACGAACAAGACCUGAGCCUGCUAAAUAGCUAUGCAGAGGUAUCCCUUCCCAGCCAGCUUCUUAGAGGGACUAUGGCCUUCUAGGCCAAGAAAGUUUGAGGAAAUAAAAGGUCUGUGAUGCCCUUAAAUGUUCUGGGCUGCACACGCGCUACACUGAUGUAUUCAACGAGUCUAUAGCCUUGGCCGACAGGCUCGGGUAAUUGAUAUGCGUAGAAUACACACAUCUAAAUAGGGAUUUUAAGGCAGAAUUUAUGUACAUUUGGAUGUGAAUUGGUCCCAACACUCACCCUAUGCAUUUGUUUGUGUGCUUUAGGUCCAAAAGAUGUCAAAGAGUGAUAAAGGAAAGAAUUGGACGUCAAAGUUGUCGAAACAAGUCGAGUUUGCGCAUCCCUAAUCUGAACAUGGCCAUGUUGGUUUCAACACUGGCCGUGUUCCCAACACGUGCACCAACACAGUCGUGUUGGUGCAUCAAACAUCAAAGAAAUAGAAGUUUUAGGGAGCACGGCCACAGAGAGUGACAUGGGCAUCAACACCAGCCCGUGUUGGGAACACGGGCCUCAAUACGGCCGUGUUAGCGGUGACAAGGGGAAUUAAUUAAAAGAAAGAAGAGAGAAAAGAAAGAGGAGAGCAGGGGAGAACAUCCCAAACCCUAAUAUUUCUCUCUCUAAGGGUUUUAUGAGCUGGAACCAAGGGAAAAGGAGACUUGGAUCAAGGUUUCAAUCGGAUUCCCUUCAAAGAUUGAAGAUUGGGCGAGGUUCGUUGAUGGGUUUUCAAAUCAAGCAAGAGGAACAAGAAUCGAUUCAAUUCGAGCAAUUCCUCUUGGGGUUGUUUACUCUCAUCCAAGGGUGUAAUCGGGUUUUUCUACCUUUACUCAUUGUUGUAAUUGAAUUCUUGUGUAUUUUGAUAAUGAACAUGAUUAGCUAGAUUGAUUAAAUCCAUUGGGAUUUCUUUAUUAUGUUGGCUUAAUGUUAUAUUGUUGGAUUGUUUGAGUUAGUUUUGUAUUCUUCUUGCUUUCAGUAUUAAUAAGAUAAUGCAUUGUUCAUUAGACGUUAUGAAUUGUGGUGUUUAGAUUGCUUUAUGUGAUUGAGAAGUCCAUUUGGCAAUUGGAAUUUUGAAUAGCAAGAACUGGUUAAUAAUCGCUUAUAGAUAAGGAUAAUUAACUAGCCAGAUUAAGAAUUAACAAAGCUUAAUAGAGGCGAAUUAAAGCUUAAUGCUAAUUUAAGAAUCAAUCGUUAGGAAGAGAUUCCAACUUUAGGUUAUUAUGUUUAGGAAUUCGGUUAUCUCGAGAGAGAAACUGAAUUCGGUUAAGAAUUCGUCCACGGGUAGCAUAAUUAGACUCACCAAUCCUUUAUCUUUUGUUUGAUUGCUAACUAGUUUAGGUUCCCUUUGGGUUUGCUUUCUUGUCUUGGUUAUUUUAGUUAUCAAUUACUCCUGCAUCUCCCUUAGAACUUAGCUUGUAUCUAUUAGUUAGUUUAGAAAUUAUUCAUCACUCAUUCUAGGUUAAUAUAACAAAGAACAAAGGAGUAACUCUAGGCUUUCACUUUCUCGAGGAAUACGACCUUGAUACUCGCCAUUAGUGCUAGACUGCAUCGAUAGGUACACUGCCUUAGAUUGUAGCUAACACAAGUAGCACACAUCAGUAAUCUUUGAAAUUUCAUCGUGAUGGGGAUAGAUCAUUGCAAUUGUUGGGCUUCAACGAGGAAUUCCUAGCAAGCGUGAGUCAUCAGCUCGCGUUGACUACGUCCCUGCCCUUUGUACACACCGCCCAUUGCUCCUACCGAUUGAAUGGUCUGGUGAAGUGUUCAGAUCGCGGUGACGUGGGCAGUUCACAACCGGCAACGUCGCGAGAAGUCCACUGAACCUUAUCAUUUAGAGGAAGGAGAAGUCGUAACAAGGUUUCUGGAGGUGAACCUGCGGAAGGAUCAUUG